UCAAAGGUCAGCAUGGCUGGGUAGGCCUCAGGAAACUUAGAAUCAUGGCUGAAGGCUAAGGGGAAGCAAGGCACAUUCUUCACAAGGCAGCUGGAAGGAGAAGUGCCGAGCAAAGGGGGAGGAGCCCCUUGCAAAACCAUCAGAUCUCCUGAGAACUCACUCACUAUCACAAGAACAGCAUGGGGGAAACUGCCCCCAUGAUUCAGUUACCUCCACCUCGCCUCUCCCUUGACUUGUGGGAAUUACAAGGAUUAUACUUCAAGAUGAGAUUUGGCUGGGGACACAAAGCCUGAGCAUAUCACUAUCGCUCUCAGUCUUGUCCGACUGGCCUCGUGUAGGAGAAGGCUCUCACCUAUCUGUCUGACCAGAGAUUUUAAGAAGAUGGAGCCUCCAUCAGCCUGGGCCUGGAAUGAGAAGCAGAACCCCCUGGCUGCUAAUGUAGUCCAGGAAAGAGAAAUGAACAGAAUCCCUCUGAUAACCCACAUUAAACAUUGCAGCUUGAGCAAGAAAUAAACAUGAUUUGUGGCCAGGCACAGUGGCUCACAUCUGUAAUCCCAGCAUUUUGAGAGGAUCACUUCAGUGCAAGUUCAAGACCAACCUGGGCCAUCAAACUCCAAAUGGUCGUGCAACCGGAGCCUCGGAAGAUGGCGCCUUCUGCCGGGAACCCUUAGAUAGGCUUCUGAGGGAGCUCUGACUGCCGUUUCCCAAAACACCGCUCCCUGUUAGCAGGAAGCAGUUUAGAUCGGUCUUCGUCCUCACCCCUAUCCUUGUUCUAACAGUAGUUUGAUGUACUUCUUGAGAGGGGGGAAUGAGACAGCCAAGUGUAAAGGGGUCCCCAGAGAACCUCUGACAAACCCGCACACUGGGAGGAAUGUGCACUGGGGUGGAGCCUCUGGAAGUUCGUGCUGAGGAGCCUGGCCCCUCCUCUUCCAGGGUGGAACCUGGGAUUCAACCUGAGAGGUGGGAAGCGUGUACUAGCAGGACUCUCACUCUGCCGAGGGUCCCCGUUUCCCCGCUUUUUUUUUUUGCCCAAUAAAUUCCAUUUUUCUCACCCUUCAAAGUGUCUGCAAGCCUAAUAUUUCAUGGCCAGGUGACAAGGACCCUGUCUUUGGCUGAACUGAGGAGAAACUCCUACAACAUUACCAUCCAGCAAUUCCUAUUUUUUUUUUUUUUUUUUUUUGAGACAGGGUCUCACUCUAUCAACCCAGGCUGGACUGCAGUGGCACAGUCAUAGCCCACUGCAGCCUCUACCUCCUGAGCUAAAGAGAUCCUCCCAUCUCAGCUUCCUGCAUAGCUAGGACUACAGGCGUGGACCACCACACUGGGCUAAAUUUUUUGUAUUUUUAUGUAGAGACGGGGUUUCACCAUGUUGCCCAAGCUGUUCUAGAAUCCCUGGCUCAAGUGAUCUACCUGCCUUGGCCUCCCAAAGUGCUGGAAUUACAGGUAUGAGCCACCAUGCUUGGCUUCCAACCAAUAUUUUAAAGUUCAUGAUGGGAAUGGAGUUUGUCUCAGAUGAUAGAUUUUUAUGGAGCCACAUGCCAAUUUCCUUAGAAUACUUUCCCUCAUGGAUACACCCCACAGAAACUCAGAAUCAUCCCCUCAAUUCUUAUCCCCCCUCAUGCCCAUUUACAAUUAAUCCCUGUUGUCACUUCCAGCCCCAGGCAACUACUAAUCUACUUUCUGCCUCUAUAAAUUUGCCUUCCCUGCACAUUUCAUGUAAGUGAAAUCAUGCCACAUGAAGCCUCUUAGGUCUGGCUUCUUUCACUUAACAUAAUGUUUUUGACGCUCAUCCACGACAUAGCAUGUGUCAUCACGUUUCAUUGCUGCACAGUCUUCUAUUGUAUGGAUUCACCACAUUUUGUCUAUCUACUCACCA
rnacentral:lncRNA from 10 species